UACGUAGGGGGCAAGCGUUGUCCGGAAUCAUUGGGCGUAAAGAGCGUGUAGGCGGCCCAGCAGGUCUGCUGUGAAAACUCGAGGCUCAACCUCGAGACGUCGGUGGAAACCGUUUGGCUAGAGUCCGGAAGAGGAGAGUGGAAUUCCCGGUGUAGCGGUGAAAUGCGCAGAUAUCGGGAAGAACACCCGUGGCGAAGGCGGCUCUCUGGGACGGUACUGACGCUGAGACGCGAAAGCGUGGGGAGCGAACAGG
rnacentral:rRNA from 1 species